rnacentral:lncRNA from 1 species
CAAGGGUGCUUUGAGGCAGAGAAGAGGAAGGAAUGAAUACCAGAUCCUGGGAAUAGAGACUUGAGAAAUAAAGGAGCUCGGGCAAGAAGGACCACUGACCUCGUGGAUGAAGUCAUGAUGUGGGCAUGAAUUGGAUUUAAGUGAGGCAAGUUAUCAGUCUCACCCUCUCU